GAAAGAUUUCAAUUGACACGAAAGAUUGAUAGAUCGCUCUGUGUUAGCAGAAUUUGUGUCAGCUGAGGUCGUAGGGUCAGCGAACUAGAACGGGAUGGAAAUCCAGUGUGAAGUGAGCAGUGUGUUAAAACUGUUCAUAGUACCAGCCAGGUAGACACACACCACUUCUGCUGUUUCCUGCACGUUGACAGCGUUCUCUCCGUGUCGUGGUAAAUGCAGGGUGUGUUCACUUCUCUCCAUGUAAUUACACUUCACCUCCAGUCCUUGAUUGGUGUGGCUGAAGAUCUGUGGCAUUCACAAUACCAGGCCCUUUGAAAACCAACACUGCUAAUUCACCAGAAGCCAUAGCACCAGGUGCACACGGAGUUCUUCGUGCAGCCUUUCAGAGCAAGGAAUGCUCUUCAACACUCCAACGAACCCUCUUCAAUACGAUAAUGACAAAUAUUGAAAAUAAUCUUUAGUCCAGCAAAAAGCGGUCUUCAACACAGCACUGGACAAUGUCAACAAUGCAAACAACUGUCGUCGCCCAGCCAGUCAGGAUUCAGAUGAGCAAUCAGUCAUGCAUGGAGAACCUGGCACUGGGGUUUUCAUACGGAACCGGUCGGUCAUCGUUAUCCCUGACUGUAGAGACAGCCAACCACUUGACGCCGUGUCGGCGCUAACGGCGCGGUAGAGUUGUGUGGAGAAGCCCUUGGAAACCCGCUAUCCACUUUGUCACUGGGAGCUUGCACUUUGACCGUGAUUUGAUUAACCGCCACCUUGGGAGGGCUUUCAACACCAAACUAAAAAAAUUACAAACAAAAGUAGCAUGGCUGGCCUGGAUGUUGUGAGUACGCAUGCGUGAAGAACUUGUGUAUGUUAUAAAUAUUCAUGUGUCUGUGUGUCGCUAGAAUUCGUAAUGAACAUCACUUACAUGUGUGAUUGUGCGUGUGCAUACCUGUGUGUGUGUGUGACUUGCAAUUUAUACGUUGUGUAUGCACAUACGUAUGUCUGUAUAUGUGAGUUGUUAACAUGCUCGUGCGUUUGUGUUUGUGUGAAUAUAGAUUAUGAAUACAUGUACGCAUCCAUUUAUAGAUUUUAUAAAUGUAGAUUACGAAAUAAAAAGGAUAAUAGGUUGUAUAUAAGAGAGUGUAUUUAUGCUUGUGUUUGAUGGAUAUACGUAUUAUAUAUAUAUUGUCUGUGUGUAUGU